AUAUGUUAACAGCCCCUAAGAAGAAGCUCAUCCAUAUACUGAGGAAAACUGUGGGUUGUUUCCUGCAGAGGAAGAGUGCUGGAUGAAGUAUGGAAGCAGGAAGGCUGUGCAGCAAACUGAGACAUCCUGUGCCUCUGGUGCUGCCGUGUAAUGUCAGAAAAUAACAAACUGAGACAUCCUGUGCCUCUGGUGCUGCUGUGUAAUGUCAGAAAAUGAGGUUCAUUGUGUUAUGUGAACGGAGAUUGUGCCUGUUUGUGCACUCCUUGCUGUAUACACAGUCAGAAGAGUUGGCCCCCUGUAGCUAAAAUCCAUCCAAAUCCUCUACAAGUGACACAGGUAUCUAAUACUUCUUUUUACUUUGAAAGGAAAAUUACUUCGUUGUUGCAAAUGUGUCAGACAGUGGAA
rnacentral:lncRNA from 12 species